rnacentral:rRNA from 1 species
GACGAACGCUGGCGGCGUGCUUAACACAUGCAAGUCGAACGGAAAGGCCCUGCUUUUGUGGGGUGCUCGAGUGGCGAACGGGUGAGUAACACGUGAGUAACCUGCCCUUGACUUUGGGAUAACUUCAGGAAACUGGGGCUAAUACCGGAUAGGAGCUCCUGCUGCAUGGUGGGGGUUGGAAAGUUUCGGCGGUUGGGGAUGGACUCGCGGCUUAUCAGCUUGUUGGUGGGGUAGUGGCUUACCAAGGCUUUGACGGGUAGCCGGCCUGAGAGGGUGACCGGCCACAUUGGGACUGAGAUACGGCCCAGACUCCUACGGGAGGCAGCAGUGGGGAAUAUUGCACAAUGGGCGGAAGCCUGAUGCAGCAACGCCGCGUGCGGGAUGACGGCCUUCGGGUCGCAAACCGCUUUCGCCUGUGACGAAGCGUGAGUGACGGUAAUGGGUAAAGAAGCACCGGCUAACUACGUG